rnacentral:rRNA from 1 species
AUUGAACGCUGGCGGCAGGCCUAACACAUGCAAGUAGAACGAGGGGCGGACGGGUGAGUAAUGCAUGGGAAUCUGCCUUAUGGAGGGGGAUAACGACGGGAAACUGUGGCUAAUACCGCGUAGCAUCGGAUGAGCCCAGGUGGGAUUAGGAAGUGGGUGGGGUAAGGGCCUACCAAGACGACGAUCUCUAGCUGGCCUGAGAGGAGGACGAGCACCACCGGGACUGAGCACGGGCCCGUACUCCGCCGGGAGGCAGCAGUGGGGAAUAUUGCGCAAUGGGGGCAACCCUGCCGCAGCCAUGCCGCGUGGUUGAAGAAGGCCUUCGGGUGGUAAAGUUCUUUCGGGGACGAGGCGUUAACCACAGAAGAAGCACCGGCUAACUCCGUGCCAGCAGCCGCGGUAAUAC